rnacentral:rRNA from 1 species
AGCGAACGUUAGCGGCAGGCUUAACACAUGCAAGUCGAGCGAGAAAGAGGGGCAACCCUUGAGUAAAGCGGCGGACGGGUGCGUAACACGUGGAUAAUCUGCCUUCUGGCGGGGAAUAACAGUCCGAAAGGAUUGCUAAUGCCGCAUGUGUCUGUGAGGUUUCCGGAUUUCACAGAGAAAGAGGGCGCCCGCAAGGGGCUCUCACCAGAAGAUGAGUCCGCGUCCCAUCAGCUAGUUGGCGGGGUAAUGGCCCACCAAGGCAGAGACGGGUAGCUGGUCUGAGAGGAUGACCAGCCACACUGGGACUGAGACACGGCCCAGACUCCUACGGGAGGCAGCAGUGGGGAAUAUUGGGCAAUGGGCGCAAGCCUGACCCAGCCAUGCCGCGUGAGUGAUGAAGGUCUUCGGAUCGUAAAGCUCUGUGGGAAGGGGCGAAAAACCGGUGGUUAAUACCCGCCGGCUUGACGGUACCUUCUUAGCAAGCACCGGCUAACUCCGU